rnacentral:rRNA from 1 species
CAAUAGCGUAUAUUAAAGUUGUUGCGGUUAAAAAGCUCGUAGUUGGAUUUCUGCCGAGGAUGACCGGUCCGCCCUGUGGGUGUGCAUCUGGCUCAGCCUUGGCAUCUUCCUGAAGAACGUAGCUGCACUUGACUGUGUGGUGCGGUAUUUAGGACAUUUACUUUGAGGAAAUUAGAGUGUUUCAAGCAAGCGCACGCUUUGAAUACAUUAGCAUGGAAUAAUAAGAUAAGACUUUGGCGGUCUAUUUUGUGGUUUGCACGCCAUUGUAAUGAUUGAUAGGGACAGUUGGGGGUAUUUGUAUUUUCUGUCAGAGGUGAAAUUCUUAGAUUUUGGAAAGACAAACAAUUGCGAAAGCAUUUACCAAGGAUGUUUUAAUUGAUCAAGAACGAAAGUAUGGGGAUCGAAGACGAUCAGAU